rnacentral:rRNA from 1 species
AGAGUUUGAUCCUGGCUCAGAUUGAACGCUGGCGGCAUGGCUAAAGCAUGCAAGUCGAACGCUCCUUCGGGAGAGUGGCGAAAGGGCGAGUAAUGCGUUUCUAACGUACCCCGCGGAGGGGGAUAGCAUCGGGAAACCGUUGGUAAUACCCCAUAAACCCACCCGUCGCAUGGCGAGGUGGGCAAAGCUCCGGCGCCUCGGGAUCGGGAAACGUCCUAUCAGCUUGUUGGUGAGGUAACGGCUCACCAAGGCGAAGACGGGUAGCGGGUGUGAGAGCAUGACCCGCCGCAUCGGGACUGAGACACUGCCCGGACUCCUACGGGAGGCUGCAGCAACGAAUCUUCCGCAAUGGACGAAAGUCUGACGGAGCAAUGCCGCGUGCGGGAUGAAGCCCCUCGGGGUGUAAACCGCUGUCAGGGUUUAGUACAAAUGAACAGACCCAAAGGAAGGGCCGGCUAACUUCGUGCCAGCAGCCGCGGUAAUACGAAGGGCCCAAGCGUUAAUCGGAAUUACUGGGCUUAAAGCGUGUGCAGGCUGACCAGUAAGUACCUUGUGAAAUCCCACGGCUCAACCGUGGAACUGCUUGGUAUACUGCUGGUCUUGAGAGCGGUAGGGGUCGCUGGAACUGUAGGUGGAGCGGUGAAAUGCGUAGAUAUCUACAGGAACGCC